AUUGAACGCUGGCGGCAGGCCUAACACAUGCAAGUCGAGCGGAUGAAGGGAGCUUGCUCCUGGAUUCAGCGGCGGACGGGUGAGUAAUGCCUAGGAAUCUGCCUGGUAGUGGGGGAUAACGUCCGGAAACGGGCGCUAAUACCGCAUACGUCCUGAGGGGGAAAGUGGGGGAUCUUCGGACCUCACGCUAUCAGAUGAGCCUAGGUCGGAUUAGCUAGUUGGUGGGGUAAAGGCCUACCAAGGCGACGAUCCGUAACCGGUCUGAGAGGAUGAUCAGUCACACUGGAACUGAGACACGGUCCAGACUCCUACGGGAGGCAGCAGUGGGGAAUAUUGGACAAUGGGCGAAAGCCUGAUCCAGCCAUGCCGCGUGUGUGAAGAAGGUCUUCGGAUUGUAAAGCACUUUAAGUUGGGAGGAAGGGCAGUAAGUUAAUACCUUGCUGUUUUGACGUUACCAACAGAAUAAGCACCGGCUAACUUCGUG
rnacentral:rRNA from 1 species